CAGUCGCCACGGUAAUACGAAGGGUGCAAGCGUUAAUCGGAAUUACUGGGCGUAAGGCGUGCGUAGGCGGUGAGUUAAGUCUGCUGUGAAAUCCCCGGGCUCAACCUGGGAAUGGCAGUGGAUACUGGCUCGCUAGAGUGUGUCAGAGGAUGGUGGAAUUCCCGGUGUAGCGGUGAAAUGCGUAGAGAUCGGGAGGAACAUCAGUGGCGAAGGCGGCCAUCUGGGACAACACUGACGCUGAGGCACGAAAGCGUGGGGAGCAAACAGGAUUAGAUACCCCGGUAGUCCCUGUCUCUUAUCC
rnacentral:rRNA from 1 species